CAAUUCCGGGCAAGGAAACAUCAAGGGCAAUGACUACCUAUUUCAUGGUUCUGAUGACAAUCCUGUCUAGGUAAUCUUCAGAUCCUUGAGAGAGUCAUUGUAUUUCCUGGAGUUACCAAGGUUCUGUGAGAAGAUUAAAUUUUCAGAGAGAAUGGAAGGAAGGAGAAGAGACAGAAAUAUCAAUGCAAGAGGGACACACUGACUGGUUGCCUCCUGCACAUGCCCCUACUGUGGCAGGAGAUGGAGCCUGCAACUGAGGGCACCAUGUGACUGCUCAUGCCUGGUUUGACUCAACAGUGCCUUCUGCAUUGGCUUGGGUGAAGUAACAUAAAUUGCUGGAACCCGUCUUCUAUUUCCCAGGCUUGCCAUUCCCAGCUUCAUACAGACUGUUGCCUGCCUUUGUACUCCCUCUAAUUAUCUCCAGAUUCAGCUACAUCCACUAAUUCUGUCUCCAGGCAGGUUCUUGGAACUUGCCUAUGGUCUGCCUCAUGCUGGGUCAAUUAUGACACAUUCUACUGAGAAAUGAGAUAGCUGGCAAAUACUAAAGAAGAAGCGUGUGUUUCUAAGUUCAGUGUAGGCCAAGUGUGUCUUCUGCACCAUUCUGCAUCCACCUCCAGUGCUAGCUUGCCCUUCCGUGUCUAGUUCAUAUUCUGUAAUUGAAUAAGGAACUUUAUUUAGGAAGCACCUGUCUUUUGGAACCUACACUGACCUAAAUAAAUUAUGAAGACUAAGAUAAUCAAAUUCCAGCGGCUUGCUCCUGGUAGAAUAAUGGGUUUUGGGAGAUAUUUUGGAGCAGCGUUAUCUCCAGAAAUCAUAUCAUAAAUUAAGUCAGGACCUCUCUGGUUAAGAAACCAGCCUUGUAGUUAAAUAUUACUUGUACUUUCUCACUUUACUUGUCUGCAGAGUUGAAAAGUCAAUUCAUUCAUUUAGUCAACAAAUAUUUAUUCAGUGUGGAUACUUUAGAAUAAAAAUAUGAACCAGAUAUGGAUUUUUCCCUUAAGGAUUCAUACUCUACUAGGAUAGAUAAGGCAGGUACACAAUAACAGUGCUAGAAGGUAGAAAGUGAUAAAGACUAUGAAAAAAGCGAGAGGAGGGAGAAAAUGCCUUCUCUGCUGAAAGGAUUAUGAAGAGACAUUUGGAGGAGGGGAGUGUAGAUAAGGUCCUGUUGGGAGUGAGGUAUUUCAAAUAGAAAGAAAAUAUUGAAUCACUUAAAAGAACAGCAAAUGAGUUAUUUUAACCAGAAUACAGUGUUCAGUACUGAGCAUAAAAGGAACUAAAAUUAGAAUGGGAAAGAGGAUCUAGGCAGUGGCAGGUCUUAAUUUCCUUAUUAAGGUGUGAACACAUUAAAGCUGUUUGAUCAGAACCCUGAAUGUUCCAGAGUGGCUAAUGAGGACAUUUCAUCUGGUGGCGAUACAUCAUAUGUAUAAAAAGGUGGGGUAAGGUUACAUUAGUUAUGGGAAAGCUUUUCGGGAAGCUAUUGCAAAUACAACAAGGCAAACACUAUUAAGAUUCAAAAUUAUGAGGCCCAUUGAGGAUAGAGAAAGCGAUUAGAUAAUAAUAGUAGCUAACCUUUAUUGAGCAUUUACUAUAUAUACGAGGUAGUGUGCAGAGGGUUCUGCAUGCAUUAUCUCAUUUUCACUUCAAAACUUGCUUAUGAGGGAAUGUGGGAGAAACAAGCUUUGCAUUAGGUUUAGAGUCAGUGAGUAAAGCCAACUUUAACACCAGCCUGAGACAAGCAGCUGCUGAGAAAACUCCUUGCUAAAGGAAAAGGAAGAAAAGGACUCUGAGUUUAUUCCUAAGUGAACAGCACCUGUGUGCUUGUCAGUGGGUACUGCGUUAGUUUGUUAGGAUUGCCCAAACUAAGUAUCACAGAGUGGGUGGCUUAUACAACAAAAAUUUAUUUUCUUAAUGUUCUGGAGCCUAAGAGCCCCAGAUCAAGGGCCUGUCAGGUUUGGUUUCCAACUCGGAUUUGUGACCUUUCUGUCCCCAGAACUCUGUGGCUGGGUUGAGCAAAAGUAUCCUCAGUUGGAUGCCAUCUGAUAAUACACCCUUGAUUGGUCUACUUCCUUACCACUCCCACUCCCCUUCUCUCCUACUGUAUUUUUCUUGGGACUACAUACUAAUAUAUCACUUACACACAUAUUCCCAUUGCAGGAUCUGUCUUUGUGAAACGGUUAUGGGUUGAAUUGUGUCUUCCAAAAAGGUAUGUUGAAAUCAUAAUGUGUAAAUGUAACCUUACUUGGAAAUAGGGUGUUUGUAGAUGUACUCAAGUUAAGACAAGGUGUUGUUUUUUAAAAAUAUAUAUAUAUUUAUUGAUUUCAGAGAGGAAGGGAGAGGGGGAGAGAGAAAUAGAAACAUCAAUAAUAACAGAGAAUCAUUGAUUGGCUGCUUUCCGAAUGCCCCACACGGGGGACUGAGCCAGCAACCUGGGCAUGUUCCCUGACAGGGAAUUGAACCAUGACCUCCUGGUUCAUAAGUCAACGCUCAACCAUUGAGCCACACUGGCCAGGCAAGAUGAGGUUUUAACUGUAUUAGACUGAGCCCUAAAUGCAAUGUGAGCAGUGCCCUUAGAAGAACAGGAAAUUUGAACACAGAGAUAGAGACACACAGGGAGAAUGUCAUGUGAAUACAGAGCCAGAGAUUAGAGUGAUAUACCUAUAAGCCAUGGAAUGCCCGUGAUUGCCCGUAAGAAGCCAGGAGAGAGACAUUCUCCCUUGGAGUGCCCAAAAGGGACCAUCUCUGCUGACAUUUUGGUUUUGGACUUCUAGCCUCCAGAAGUGUGAGGCAAUAAAUUUCUGCCACCAGCUUCGUGAUACUUUGUAAUGACAGCCUUGGGAAACUAAUGCAGGGACCCAACUGACACUAGGUAGUUUCAGAAGUGGUCCUAGGAAGCAUAUUCUUAGGAUGUGAUUCUGGAAUUAGAUCAUUUGACAUCUGGAUAGCAGUAGAAAUCCUAUUGUUAGAGAUAAACUAUUAAAAGGUUCACUCUCACUAUAGCAUUAUGAUUACUAUAACUUUCACCACUGGUGAACUGGGAUGGGAUACAGGUGAUAGGAGAUGGAAUGACUUGCAUGAUAUUCAGAGCAUUUCAGAGCUACGGAGGGAUUCAUACUGACAAGGACUGCGUUGGUGGGUUGUUUGUUGCUAAGCGCCACUCUUAUUUUGGAGAAGAAAACUGACAAGCUAAAUCGGUCAAUUACCAACAUGGGACCCUGUAUGAAAGUUUGAAGGCCUGCAGGAAAGCAUUUAAAGAGAUCCCCAAAUUUCUGCAGCUAGAAGGCAGCCUGAACUGCGGACUGGUGGAUGCAAUUUAUUGUAAAAAUAGUAAAACUACAACGAGGGCUGAAUUCAUCAUCUUGGCUAGUCUUUUAUGCUAAAAUCAGAACCCUGAUAUGGAAAGAGUAGGCCUAUAUUGAAUGGGAACACAUGCGUACAUAUGCUUAGGAACAUGGGAUCCCCAGAACCCUCUGAACCCUGAGGCCUACAGGAGUGGCCUACUUGAUUUUGCUAGAGGAUGGCCACUUCCUAUUGCCAGAAGACCAUGCCAAAACCUCAGCUGAGGUAGGUGCCUGGGGGGAUAAUAGUUUUCUUCUUCAAGAUCUGACCCCAACUCCUCUCCUGUCUUCUAGUUCUAUAAUCAGGGUCAUGUUUCAGCAUGGGCCAACCAAGGAAGUACUUCCCAGCUAAAGAUAAAAAGGAAUUGUUCACCAAAGGAACCUCACAACAUGAUUAAUUGUAGUAAAAGAAACUGGGGAGAGCGUAUGCUAAGAAGUAGAUCUUGGUAGUGUUUGGGGUGGUGGUGGAUAAGAGAAGUGCAAUAAAAGGGAAUUGGCCAAUAAGGAAGCAUUUUCCCAUGACUGAAAACUUGCUGGCCAGAGCACCUGAAAAGGGUCUUAAUAUACUGGUGGAAUUGUUCCUAGGAGCUUUCAGGGAACAAAAGGCUCAGAUUAAAUUACACAGAAAUGACAGAACUGCCUUGGCAGCGUUUUGAGGAAGGGAUCAAAAGACUCAGAGAAGUGAGCAUGCUAGCAUGAUUCUAUGCUAUGACAUUUGAGAUCCUACCAGCUGGCUAUAUUUCUGGAAGGACCAGAGAAUGCUCUCAUCACUAAGCUUACGAGAAAUGCACUAGUGAUGGAGGUACUGGCAAAUUGGAGCAUCUCAGUAGUGGCGGCACUAGGCUUGAUGAUAAGCAAUAUUGUUAGAGAACCGGGCUCUCUGUUGACAGUGGGAAUAGCAGAAGUCUAGUGGCAAUCCUUAACCAUUAGGAGCUAUGGGAGCUAUUUUCAAACUUUUUCAUCUCAUAUGAAACAUAUGAGAACAUAUAAACCAAUUACUAAAAUUCUACGGCACAUCAAAAAUAUAUAUUUUUUGCCAAUCUGACAAAAAAUAGGUAUAAUUUUGAUUCAUUCACACCAGACAGCUACUGUUGUAUGAGCUGUUGUCAUUUUUUAUUUGACAAUCUAAGGGAAAAGAGGUCAGUGCCCCUGACUAAAUAAUCAGGUAUUGCAUGUUUUAAAAAUUCUUGUGGCACACUGGUUGAAAACCGCUCAUCUAUGAGGAUGGCUAAUACACCAAAAUGCUUCUAAGAAUAAACAUAUGGACAGAUGAUAACAGCAUGGCUUGAUAUACAUAAUAUGAAAUUAUUAAACUGGAUGAGCAAAAGCCUGAUAUCAUUAGUACCCAUGGAAUAUCACUUCCUUAUUUUGUUUAAAAACCUAAGCUAGCCCUCAUACCCACAGAGGGCCCUACAAUGCCACAAGUAUAUACUGUAGAGAUUUCUUUAAUUUUACAUAUCCUAUAUAAUAAAGAGCUAAGAUCUGGAAACAGCCUAAGUGCCCAUCAGUAGAUGAAUGGAUUAGAAAACUGUGGUACAUCUACACGAUGGAAUACUAUGCUGCUGUAAAAAGGAAGGAACUCUUACCAUUUGCAACAGCAUGGAUGGAACUGGAGAGCAUUAUGCUAAGUGAAAUAAGCCAGUCAAUGAAAGAA